CAGAGAUCAGGAAGACAGGGUCUGGAUGCCAAUGAAGGAGGGUCCAGCAAGACAGGUGGGCUCAGGAAUUAAAGACUCACAGGAACAGGAAAAGCUAACUAGGGGACCCCUUAGUCACCAGAGGCUUUUUAUCUCAGCCCCAGAGCUUUGCUGUGGUUUCUGUUAAGCCAGGAACCCAUUAAAGAGUGGCUGACCUGGGCUCUGCAGAAGAAGGGGUUAGGAUUAAGGGAGGCUAUGGCUUCUGGUGAGCAUCUGUGUUUUGACGUUGACUAAGUCUUGAUGGUGAUAAUCUUGAUUCAUUCAUUCAAUACAUGUUUAUAACCCAAUGGAGAUCCUUCCUUCCUUCCUUCCUCUUUUUUUUUUUUUGUACAGACAGGGUCUUGCUAUGUUGCCCAGGCUUGUCUCAAACUCCUGGCUCCAGGUGAUCCCCCUGCCUCAGCCUCUGGUAGUGUUGGGAUUACAGGUGUGAGCCACCAUGACUGGCUGAGAAACUUAUUUUUUUAGCAGUAGAUUCUACCCUCCCUUAGUGCCUUAUUUACUACCAGGAGGACAGUAUGGGGGAAACUGCCCCCAUGAUUCAAUUAUCUCCCACCACAUCCCUCCCACAACAUAUGGGAAUUAUGGGAGCUACAAUUCAAGAUGAGAUUUGGGUGGGGACACAGCCAAACCAUAUCAUGGGUGAACACUUGGAUCUACUGCUUGGGUAAGAAUGAGUGUGAGCAUUAGGUUUGAAGAGCAGCGGAUAGAUGGUUGUACUCCAUGAACCAGACACCAGGCUCUUAUUUGGCUGAGUGGGUUGGCACUCUGAGGCUGAAAAUGGAAUAGUUUUGAGACAGUAGAACAUAUUUUUUAGAGGCUGAGAUAGAGGGACGGGAAGAGAAGGAGGAAAAACAAAGUAGCUGGCAGAGAGAGGACUUUGAGGGAAAAGAAGAUA
rnacentral:lncRNA from 1 species